AUAUCAAUAAGGGGAGGAAAAGAAAAUAACCAUGAUUCCCUCAGUAACGGCGAGUGAAGCGGGAUCAGCUCAAGCUCUUAAUCGGAGGUGUCUACACUUUCGAAUUGUAGUUUUGAGAGAGGGUCUAAAGGUUGAGAAGGAGACUAAGUCUGUUGGAAAACAGUGCCAUAGAGGGUGACAGCCCCGUGAGUCUCUUUACUCUUCUGUAUAUUCCCUUUUCUUAGAGUCGGGUUGUUUGAGAGUACAGCCCAAAAUAGGUGGUAAGUUCCAUCUAAAGCUAAAUAUUGGCGGGAGACCGAUAGCAAACAAGUACCGCGAGGGAAAGAUGAAAAGAACUUUGAAAAGAGAGUCAAAAGGACUUGAAAUUGCUAAAGCGAAGCAAUUGACACUAUCUUGAGGGGGGUAGAUAUUCAGUUUCGAAGGAGUGGAAACGGGGCUGUUGAAGCAGGGAUACCUGUUCACUGUCUUGUCUAAGCUCCUUUGGGGUGCACUUAUCUAUUUUCCGAACCAUCUUGGCUCCGUCGCUGGUUAGAAUAGUGGGAGGGAGGUACUCUGGUCGCGGCUAGGGGAAUACCUUCUACAAGAUGACCAGUGAUGGAGUGAGGGG
rnacentral:rRNA from 1 species